GACGAACGCUGGCGGCGUGCCUAAUACAUGCAAGUAGAACGCUGAAGGAGGAGCUUGCUUCUCUGGAUGAGUUGCGAACGGGUGAGUAACGCGUAGGUAACCUGCCUGGUAGCGGGGGAUAACUAUUGGAAACGAUAGCUAAUACCGCAUAAGAGUAGAUGUUGCAUGACAUUUGCUUAAAAGGUGCAAUUGCAUCACUACCAGAUGGACCUGCGUUGUAUUAGCUAGUUGGUGAGGUAACGGCUCACCAAGGCGACGAUACAUAGCCGACCUGGGAAGGUGAUCGGGCACACUGGGACUGAGGAACGGCCCAGACUCCUUCGGGAGGCAGCAGUAGGGAAUCUUCGGCAAUAGACGGAAGUCUGACCGAGGAACGGCGGGGGAGUGAAGGAGGUUUUCGGAUCGUAAAGCUCUGUUGUAAGAGAAGAACGAGUGUGAGAGUGGAAAGUUCACACUGUGACGGUAUCUUAACAGAAAGGGACGGCUAACUACGUG
rnacentral:rRNA from 1 species